CCCCCACACCAGACCACAAAACCCUAGCCGCCCGCCGCUCGCCGGAGAAAACGAACCAGAGGCCGACCGCCGCCACCCGCCGCCGCACCGGGGAAAUUUCCGACCGCCGAUCGAGGUUGACCGAAGCCGAAUCACCAAAACACGAACCUCGCCGGAGAGCCGCCGUACCCGAGAGCGCCGCCGCCGGUACUGUUAGUGUGUUUCAGUUCCCCGG
rnacentral:lncRNA from 1 species